rnacentral:rRNA from 1 species
AUUGAACGCUGGCGGCGUGCUUAACACAUGCAAGUCGAGCGGUAACAGGUGUAGCAAUACAUGCUGACGAGCGGCGAACGGGUGAGUAAUGCUUCGGAAUCUUCCUCGUAGUGGGGAAUAACCUGGGGAAACUCAGGCUAAUACCGCAUACGAACUACGGUUGAAAGCAGGGGAUCGCAAGACCUUGCGCUAUGAGAUGAGCCGAAGUCGGAUUAGCUAGUUGGUGAGGUAAAGGCUCACCAAGGCGACGAUCCGUAGCUGGUCUGAGAGGACGACCAGCCACACUGGGACUGAGACACGGCCCAGACUCCUACGGGAGGCAGCAGUGGGGAAUAUUGGACAAUGGGGGCAACCCUGAUCCAGCGACGCCGCGUGUGUGAGAAGGCCUGCGGGUUGUAAAGCACUUUUA